GGACCAAUGGUGUAGCCUGGCAUCACCCUAGAUUCUGAUGCCUUUGAGCUUCGGUUUGAAGUACAGAAUUUUCUAGUAACGUGAGUUCGAAUCUCGCUUGGUCCU